UACGGAGGGUGCAAGCGUUGUCCGGAUUUAUUGGGUUUAAAGGGUGCGUAGGCGGCUAUUUAAGUCAGUGGUGAAAUCCAACAGCUUAACUGUUGAACUGCCAUUGAUACUGGAUGGCUUGAGUACAGACGAGGUAGGCGGAAUUUAUGGUGUAGCGGUGAAAUGCAUAGAUACCAUAAAGAACACCGAUUGCGAAGGCAGCUUACUAGGCUGUAACUGACGCUGAGGAGCGAAAGUGUGGGGAGCGAACAGG
rnacentral:rRNA from 1 species